GGAAGCUCACUCAUUUGGAGCAGAGCCACUGUUUGGACAGGGAUUUUCCAGUUCCGCCACUGUGAUUAGAAAAGCAGCAACACUGCCCCAAUUCCGGAAGCAGUUGAAGGACAGGAAUUAGCUCAUUCAUGCCUGACAGAGCUCUAGCUCCAAAACUGGAUUAUUAUUCAAACAAAUAUAAAUACCUUUAGUACAUCUUAUCUUUCAAUCUCCUCUACCUCAGCCCUCAUAAACUGAAUUUUUGUUGGAAGCUCUGUCAUUUAGAAAGAAAGAAAGAAAUGUGUCUGAGGACAUCUCCAGUCCUCCAGCAAUUCCACCCUCGGCAGCACUCAGCUCUGACUGGGAACGCUGCUCGUAAGUGUGGGUAACAUUACAUGGCCUACAGCACAGCACGAAAAUGGGAUCUAACGAUGUGGAUAAGUUUCGUAACUAGAAGAAUAGUAGAAUAAACAGCCACAGGAGGCUGGAGAAAUCAGCGUCACAAGGGACAGCCAAGACAAGAUCUAACGUCUAUCUUGCCUGCGAGAAUUUGAGUCAUGCAGGAGCUUGCUCACCCAAGAAAAUCUAUUCAUAGGGUCUCAUAAAACCAACUUAACUGCAGUGCACAAAUUAAAAAGCAAACAGUGGAAAUCCGUAUCGGUUCUCUUGCUUCCCUGCUCACUGCUGCAUAGCUCCAUAGGAGCGCUAUGGGAGCAGAGCACAGCAGAUCUCCCUGAGAGCUCUGGGAGUUCUACCUGCUGAGGAAAGAUAGGAUCUCAAGUGUCAAAAAUGCACAGCAGCUCUUUCAGUAGGAAACAUGCUUUGCUAAAAGGAACACUGGAAAUAAGUGACAGAUUCAGGGUUUGUCCUGGAAUCCUGCCCUGCCUGCAGCAAAUUCAAAUCCACUCUCUUGGUACAGAAAAGCUCCUCUGGAUUCAGCUCAGCACAGACGAUUAAAGAGUUCCUAUUCUGGAGCACCAGGAAUCUGGAUUUUAAAACAUAGCGCUUAAAGUUGGCCUAACAGGAAAAUGGAACGUGCUGAGUAAGACCCAGUCCUUCUCUCAGCUCCCUGCACAUAACCAGCCUGGGACUGUGAGCUGCUUGAAGAGCUCUGGCAGCCGCACACAGAGCAUGGGAGCAGCACAGCUUUCCAACAGCAGGCAGAACAAAGCUCCAGCCCAAUCUAUAGCCCAACAGAGCCUGCCCCAUCCCCACUCAUCUGCUGCUUUCCCCCAGCUAACAGACACACAGAAACAAACACCUCUCAACAGAGAAGCUCUAGCUACAGGUUUGAGAAGAACAUCUCAAGAGGAAAGGCAAGGGGUUGUUGGUGUGCCUCUCACCUGGCGGCUUUCGCGAGGCUUCUGAGCAGUGACCACAUUACCGUCAUCCAACAGAAGGGCUACUUUCUCAUGUUUAUUCCUGUAAACUACAAACAUAAGACACGCUGAAUCAUAAUUCAGAGAACAGAAACUCCUUGAAGAAAAAGAAAAAAGAAUUAAGUGAAAGCUUCCUCCCUCACUUUUUCUUCCUCCCUCCCACUUCAGCCUUGCAGUUACUUCACCAGAUCGUCAUGGUUUGGACAGCACACCUUGCUCUGCAUGUUGGGAACAGCAAGAAGUGCAAAAAAAAAUAAACCAUCACCCCAAAGAAACACCUCUUCCCAGACAAUACCCGAGUGGCAGCUCAAGCAAGUGAUUAGAGGAACCAAAAUGAGACAAUGAGGACUGGCUGAAGCCUCCAGCUCUGCUCUUGGCUGGGUUUCUCUUGGGGUUUUUGUUUUUGUUUUUCUCUGAGUCGCAGAGAAAGCCAAAAGACCAAUGUGAGUCCUUAUCCCUGUUGGCAGCACCAAGCCAGAUCCACUGGAAUGUCAGCCCUGCAUUUCAUCUGACUCAAAAUGUACCCUCAAAAUAAAACAAGCUACUUUUUU
rnacentral:lncRNA from 7 species